rnacentral:snRNA from 1 species
ACUCAGACCUGGCAGGGGAGAUGUUUUCCCAGGGUAAGGCUCAUCUAUUGCAGUUCAGAUGAGCUGACCCCUGUGAUUUCCCCAAAUGUGGGAAAGUCAACCGCCUAAGUGGGAGACUGUGUUUGUGGUUUCCCU